GUGAUGAAUUGCGAUUGGUCC
rnacentral:siRNA from 1 species